rnacentral:rRNA from 1 species
CACGUAGGCACCAAGCGUUGUCCGGAUUUAUUGGGCGUAAAGAGCUCGUAGGCGGUUCAGUAAGUCGGGUGUGAAAACUCAGGGCUCAACCCUGAGCGGCCACCCGAUACUGCUGUGACUUGAGUCCGGUAGGGGAGUGGGGAAUUCCUGGUGUAGCGGUGAAAUGCGCAGAUAUCAGGAGGAACACCGGUGGCGAAGGCGGGUCUCUGGGCCGAUACUGACGCUGAGGAGCGAAAGCGUGGGGAGCGAACAGG